CCCUUAGAUGUUCUGGGCCGCACGCGCGCUACACUGACUGGUGCAACAAGUGUCUGACCUUGGCUCGAGAGGCCUGGGCAACCUUUGAACGCCAGUCGUGCUGGGGAUAGAUUCUUGCAAUUAUUAAUCUUCAACGAGGAAUUCCUAGUAAACGCAAGUCAUCAGCUUGCAUUGAUUACGUCCCUGCCCUUUGUACACACCGCCCGUCGCUCCUACCGAUUGAAUGGUCCGGUGAAGCGUUCGGACCGUGGCCUUUGGACGGUUCGCCGUCUGUUGGCUGCGGGAAGUUCGUUAAACCUUAUCAUUUAGAGGAAGGAGAAGUCGUANCA
rnacentral:rRNA from 1 species